rnacentral:rRNA from 1 species
GAUGAACGCUAGCGACAGGCCUAACACAUGCAAGCCGAGGGGCAUCACAAGGAGCAAUCUGAGGUGGCGACCGGCGCACGGGUGAGUAACACGUAUGCAAUCUACCUUUUACACGGGGAUAAUCCGGCGAAAGUCGGUCUAAUACCCGAUGGUAUAUAUAGUUCGCAUGGAUUAUAUAUUAAAGAACUUCGGUAAAAGAUGAGCAUGCGUAACAUUAGAUAGUUGGUGAGGUAACGGCUCACCAAGUCAACGAUGUUUAGGGGUUCUGAGAGGAAGGUCCCCCACACUGGUACUGAGACACGGACCAGACUCCUACGGGAGGCAGCAGUGAGGAAUAUUGGUCAAUGGAUGAGAGUCUGAACCAGCCAAGUCGCGUGAAGGAAGAAUGUCCUAUGGAUUGUAAACUUCUUUUGUAAGGGAAUAAAAGAUAUUACGUGUAAUAUAUUGUAUGUACUUUACGAAUAAGGAUCGGCUAACUCCGUGCCAGCAGCCGCGGUAAUACGGAGGAUCCGAGCGUUAUCCGGAUUUAUUGGGUUUAAAGGGUGCGUAGGCGGACUAAUAAGUCAGCGGUGAAAGUUUGCAGCUCAACUGUAAAAUUGCCGUUGAAACUGUUAGUCUUGAGUACAAAUGAGGUAAGCGGAAUGUGUAGUGUAGCGGUGAAAUGCUUAGAUAUUACACAGAACCCCAAUUGCGAAGGCAGCUUACUGGGAUGUAACUGACGCUGAUGCACGAAAGCGUGGGUAUCAAACAGGAUUAGAUACCCUGGUAGUCCACGCAGUAAACGAUGAAUACUAGUUGUUUGCGAUAUACAGUAAGUAACACAGCGAAAGCGUUAAGUAUUCCACCUGGGGAGUACGUUCGCAAGAAUGAAACUCAAAGGAAUUGACGGGGGCCCGCACAAGCGGAGGAACAUGUGGUUUAAUUCGAUGAUACGCGAGGAACCUUACCCGGGCUUGAAAUGCAGAGGAAUAUAGAUGAAAGUUUAUAGUCAGCAAUGACCUCUGUGUAGGUGCUGCAUGGUUGUCGUCAGCUCGUGCCGUGAGGUGUCGGCUUAAGUGCCAUAACGAGCGCAACCCUUGUUGCUAGUUACUAACAGGUAAAGCUGAGGACUCUAGCAAGACUGCCACCGUAAGGUGUGAGGAAGGUGGGGAUGACGUCAAAUCAGCACGGCCCUUACGUCCGGGGCGACACACGUGUUACAAUGGGGGGUACAGAAGGCCGCUACCUGGCGACAGGAUGCUAAUCUCCAAAACCUCUCUCAGUUCGGAUCGGAGUCUGCAACUCGACUCCGUGAAGCUGGAUUCGCUAGUAAUCGCGCAUCAGCCAUGGCGCGGUGAAUACGUUCCCGGGC